AUUGAACGCUGGCGGCAGGCCUAACACAUGCAAGUCGAACGAGGGGCGGACGGGUGAGUCAUGUCUGGGAAACUGCCUGAUGGAGGGGGAUAACUACUGGAAACGGUAGCUAAUACCGCAUACCAUCAGAUGUGUCCAGAUGGGAUUAGCUUGGUGGUGGGGUAACGGCUCACCAAGGUGACGAUCCCUAGCUGGUCUGAGAGGAGGACCAGCCCAACUGGAACGGAGACACGGUCCAGACUCCUACGGGAGGCAGCAGUGGGGAAUAUUGCACAAGGGGCGCAAGCCUGAUGCAGCCAUGCCGCGUGUAUGAAGAAGGCCGUCGGGUUGUAAAGUACUUUCAGCUGGGAGGCGUUACCCGCAGAAGAAGCACCGGCUAACUCCGUGCCAGCAGCCGCGGUAAUUC
rnacentral:rRNA from 1 species